GACGAACGCUGGCGGCGUGCCUAAUACAUGCAAGUAGAACGCUGAAGGAGGAGCUUACUCUUCUGGAUGAGUUGCGAACGGGUGAGUAACGCGUAGGUAACCUGCCUGGUAGCGGGGGAUAACUAUUGGAAACGAUAGCUAAUACCGCAUAAGAGUAGAUGUUGCAUGACAUUUACUUAAAAGGUGCAAUUGCAUCACUACCGGAUGGACCUGCGUUGUAUUAGCUAGUUGGUGGGGUAACGGCUCACCAAGGCGACGAUACAUAGCCGACCUGAGAGGGUGAUCGGCCACACUGGGACUGAGACACGGCCCAGACUCCUACGGGAGGCAGCAGUAGGGAAUCUUCGGCAAUGGACGGAAGUCUGACCGAGCAACGCCGCGUGAGUGAAGAAGGUUUUCGGAUCGUAAAGCUCUGUUGUAAGAGAAGAACGAGUGUGAGAGUGGAAAGUUCACACUGUGACGGUAUCUUACCAGAAAGGGACGGCUAACUACGUGCCAGCAGCCGCGGUAAUACGUAGGUCCCGAGCGUUGUCCGGAUUUAUUGGGCGUAAAGCGAGCGCAGGCGGUUAGAUAAGUCUGAAGUUAAGGCUGUGGCUUAACCAUAGUACGCUUUGGAAACUGUUUAACUUGAGUGCAAGAGGGGAGAGUGGAAUUCCAUGUGUAGCGGUGAAAUGCGUAGAUAUAUGGAGGAACACCGGUGGCGAAAGCGGCUCUCUGGCUUGUAACUGACGCUGAGGCUCGAAAGCGUGGGGAGCAAACAGGAUUAGAUACCCUGGUAGUCCACGCCGUAAACGAUGAUAACUGGGCGUAUGCGAUAUACAGUAUGCUCCUAAGCGAAAGCGUUAAGUUAUCCACCUGGGGAGUACGCCGGCAACGGUGAAACUCAAAGGAAUUGACGGGGGCCCGCACAAGCGGAGGAACAUGUGGUUUAAUUCGAUGAUACGCGAGGAACCUUACCCGGGAUUGAAAUGUAGAUGACAGGCGGUGAAAGCUGCUCUCCCUUCGGGGCAUCUAUGUAGGUGCUGCAUGGUUGUCGUCAGCUCGUGCCGUGAGGUGUCGGCUUAAGUGCCAUAACGAGCGCAACCCCUGUCUACGGUUGCCAUCAGGUGAUGCUGGGAACUCCGUAGAGACUGCCGUCGUAAGGCGUGAGGAAGGUGGGGAUGACGUCAAAUCAGCACGGCCCUUACAUCCGGGGCGACACACGUGUUACAAUGGUAUGGACAGAGGGCAGCCACUUGGCGACAAGGAGCAAAUCCCUAAACCGUAUCACAGUUCGGAUUGGAGUCUGCAACUCGACUCCAUGAAGCUGGAUUCGCUAGUAAUCGCGCAUCAGCCAUGGCGCGGUGAAUACGUUCCCGGGCCU
rnacentral:rRNA from 1 species